GAGGGUGUAGCUCAGUGGUAGAGCACAUGCUUAGCAUGCACAAGGCCCUGGGUUCAAUCCCCAGUACCUCUG
rnacentral:tRNA from 1 species